rnacentral:rRNA from 1 species
AUUGAACGCUGGCGGCAGGCUUAACCCAUGCAAGUCGAGCGAGCGGCGGACGGGUGAGUAAUGUCUGGUAAACUGCCUGAUGGAGGGGGAUAACUACUGGAAACGGUAGCUAAUACCGCAUACCAUCAGAUGUGCCCAGAUGGGAUUAGCUAGUAGGUGGGGUACUGGCUCACCUAGGCGUCGAUCCCUAGCUGGUCUGAGCGGCUGACCAGCCAAACUGGAACUGAGACACGGUCCAUACUCCUACGGGAGGAAGCAGUGGGGAAUAUUGGACAAUGGGCGCAAGCCUGAUGCAGCCAUGCCGCGUGUGUGAAGAAGGCCUUCGGGUUGUAAAGCACUUUCAGCGAGGAGGCGUUACUCGCAGAAGAAGCACCGGCUAACUCCGUGCCAGCAGCCGCGGUAAUUC